CCCUGGGUGGUGUAAAUGGUUAACACACUUGGCUGCUAAGCAAAAGGUUGGUGGUUUUAGUCUACCCAGAGGAG
rfam:Loxodonta africana unplaced genomic scaffold scaffold_6, whole genome shotgun sequence.